UACGUAGGGUGCGAGCGUUGUCCGGAAUUAUUGGGCGUAAAGAGCUUGUAGGCGGUCUGUCGCGUCUGCUGUGAAAAUCCGGGGCUCAACCCCGGACUUGCAGUGGGUACGGGCAGACUAGAGUGUGGUAGGGGAGACUGGAAUUCCUGGUGUAGCGGUGAAAUGCGCAGAUAUCUGGAGGAACACCAGUGGCGAAGGCGGCAUCCUGGCCCUGUCCUGACGGCU
rnacentral:rRNA from 1 species